UACAGAGGUCUCAAGCGUUGUUCGGAUUCAUUGGGCGUAAAGGGUGCGUAGGUGGCGCCGUAAGUCAGGUGUGAAAUUUCGGAGCUUAACUCCGAAACUGCAUUUGAUACUGCGGUGCUCGAGGACUGGAGAGGAGACUGGAAUUUACGGUGUAGCAGUGAAAUGCGUAGAGAUCGUAAGGAAGACCAGUGGCGAAGGCGGGUCUCUGGACAGUUCCUGACACUGAGGCACGAAGGCCAGGGGAGCAAACGGG
rnacentral:rRNA from 1 species